rnacentral:rRNA from 1 species
AAUUGUUCGCAAUGGGCGCAAGCCUGACGACGCAACGCCGCGUGGAGGAUGAAGAUUUUCGGAUCGUAAACUCCUGUCGAAUGGGACGAAUAGAUUGCGGGUUAACAGCCCGUAGUCCUGACGGUACCGUUAAAGGAAACCCCGGCUAACUCCGUGCCAGCAGCCGCGGUAAUACGAAGGGGGCAAGCGUUGUUCGGAAUUACUGGGCGUAAAGGGCGCGUAGGCGGCCCGCUAAGUCGAACGUGAAAUCCCUGGGCUCAACCCAGGAACUGCGUCCGAUACUGGCAGGCUUGAAUCCGGGAGAGGGAUGUGGAAUUCCAGGUGUAGCGGUGAAAUGCGUAGAUAUCUGGAGGAACACCGGUGGCGAAGGCGGCAUCCUGGACCGGUAUUGACGCUGAUGCGCGAAAGCCAGGGGAGCAAAC